rnacentral:rRNA from 1 species
AAGACCUUGCACUUUUGGAGCGGCCGAUGCCUGAUUAGCUAGUUGGUGGGGUAAAAGCCUACCAAAGCUUCGAUCAGUAGCUGGUCUGAGAGGACGGCCAGCCACACUGGGACUGAGACACGGCCCAGACUCCUACGGGAGGCAGCAGUGGGGAAUUUUGGACAAUGGGGGCAACCCUGAUCCAGCCAUGCCGCGUGAGUGAAGAAGGCCUUCGGGUUGUAAAGCUCUUUCAGCCGGGAAGAAACGGUUGCGAAUAACACCCNUGACGGUACCGAAAGAAGAAGCACCGGCUAACUACGUGCCAGCAGCCGCGGUAAUACGUAGGGUGCGAGCGUUAAUCGGAAUUACUGGGCGUAAAGGGUGCGCAGGCGGUUUUGUAAGUCAGAUGUGAAAUCCCCGGGCUUAACCUGGGAACU